GGGGCGGGGCGCCGGCCGCGGCGCGUGCUGAGGGGCGGGCUUGGGGGGCGGUGCCCAGACCCGGAGCGGGUGUGGCGGGUGGGGCCGGAGGCCGAGCGGAGCAGGUGGGGCACGGGGGUAACCGCGGCGAGGGAGGGGUGAGACAGGCGCUCGCCGCCGGCGGCCGUAACUUCGACCAGGUGCUCGGUUCGCUGCCUUCAGAGCGGUCAGCCCGCGAGGCGCGAAUACGUGCACACUGGAAAGAGGAAGAAAUAGUGAGUCCCAGCGGCUCACUCGUUCCCAGACUUCUGGACCCACCGGACUCGGGCUUCCUGACCCUCCCGAGUCCCCUUCCCGACGACGUGACGCCCCCCGAGAGCGGAGACCCAGUUCGCGUCAGCCUGGCCAGCAUCAGCACCCCUGGGCGUUACGGAGCCCGAGCCCCGCCGCCGCAGUUGGCCCGAGGAAGUGGGGGCCGUGGACGCGAGUCUGCAGAGGGCGAGCUGCUGACCUUCCGUGUAGGGCGCUAAAGCGAGGGACGAAAGCCCGCGGCGGCCACUCGGGAUCCGUCGCCCCUUGAAGAGAACGAAAAGAGAGAGAAAGUGUAUGAGCGUGAGAAGGGGCAGAAGGAGACGGGAAGCGAAUUCUCAAGCAGAUCCCCGCGGAGUGCUGAGCCUACCUGGGACUCACCCAAGGACCCUGAGAUCAUGACCCGAGACAGAAUCAAGAGUCAGCUGCCUAACCAAUGGAGCUGCCCAGGGGCGCCCCGUCAACAUUUAAAGAGGAGGUUUUCUUGUUCUAUCCCAGAAAGCCAAGCAAAUUCCCAUGAAGCCAUCUGUUAUCUCUUCCAUACUGUAUUUUUCUAAGAUAAAUGCAUAAAAUGCCUUAUAAUCAUUUAA